UAGUUAAACGGCCGCGGUACCCUAACCGUGCAAAGGUAGCACAAUCACUUGUUCUCUAAAUCAGGACUAGUAUGAACGGCCCCACGAGGGCUACACUGUCUCCCCCCUUUAAUCAGUGAAACUGAUCCCCCCGUGAAGAAGCGAGGAUACCCAUAUAAGACGAGAAGACCCCAUGGAACUUUAAACUUGCACCACUGCCUCCAACAUACCAUACCACACCACCCAAGGCAAUCCUGGCUGCCAGUCUUUCGGCUGGGGCGACCGCGGAGAAAAAUAAAACCUCCACGAUGAAAGGAACACUCCUAAUUCCAGAGCCACUGCUCCAAAAAUCAACAAAUUGACACAAAUUGACCCAACCCCCCUUGACCAACGAACCAAGCUACCCUGGGGAUAACAGCGCAAUCUACUUCAAGAGACCCCAUCGACAAGUAGGCUUACGACCUCGAUGUUGGAUCAGGACAUCCUGGUGGUGCAGCCGCUACCAAGGGUUCGUUUGUUCAACGAUUAAAGCCCU
rnacentral:rRNA from 1 species